UUCAUUUUAUUUUUCCUUCUUCUUCUUAGCACCUCUCCUUUCCUGAGUCUCCUCCUCCAUCACUGUGUUCAUAAGAACACACGUUAAACACCACCAAAUCCAUCGCUGUUUGUUUGAUUAAUUCAAUAAGUUAACAAGAAGUCUACAACAGUUAAAUUUUGACGGAGGAGUGAAUUGGGUACCCGAAAUCUCGAUCUAUUUGUUCUGAAUCUUUUGAUUACUUAAUCAUUUGAUUAGGGUUUUGGAAUUUUCUGCUAUCUCUCUGCACCCUUAAUCUCAAAUUCUCAACCAAAGCGUUACUUGGUCCUGUCAACAAUAAUGUCACCACAAGUGCUGCUGCCAUGGAAAUGGAAUAGAAGAUCAAGAUUCAAGACUUUGUAUUUGUCAUUGCCACCACUGUCCAAUCAUUCUGUCAUUGCUACUGCUACUUGAUAAUGCCACCACCAGUGCAUUGUGGUUAAGAAUUAAGACUAUUGUGUGUGUUUGUGUGCUACUGCUACUUUUUUUUUUUUCUUUCAGAUUUUCAAGACUUUGGUUGUUUGGAACUUUGGUUUGCUAGUAUUAUUGUUACGUAUUAGUUGUUAAUUUGUUCUUUGAUUGA